CCUAGGGGAGGCAGCAGUAGGGAAUAUUGGACAAUGGGCGAAAGCCUGAUCCAGCCAUGCCGCGUGUGUGAAGAAGGUCUUCGGAUUGUAAAGCACUUUAAGUUGGGAGGAAGGGCAGUAAGCGAAUACCUUGCUGUUUUGACGUUACCGACAGAAUAAGCACCGGCUAACUCUGUGCCAGCAGCCGCGGUAAU
rnacentral:rRNA from 1 species